AUGAGAACUUGCCCUCCGGGGUAGAUCUCCCACCCUCUGUUUACAUACUUUGUUGCUUUGGCAGGCCCGUCUUCGGACCGCCGGCUUCGGCUGGCCCGUGCCUGCCAGAGGAUUCAAAACUCUGAAUUAAAUGUCGUCUGAGUACUAUGUAAUAGUUA
rnacentral:misc_RNA from 1 species